rnacentral:lncRNA from 1 species
GCCGAGGUCCUCUUCCAGGAUUGGCUACCUCCUCAUAACCAUAAGAUAAUUAAAACUUGGCGGGGGGGGGGGGCAGGGUUAAAAAAACUUUUUUUAUCAGUCAGAGGAUAAUGCAAGUGUUUAACAGAUGCUUCACUAUUAAAAUAUUUUCCCCCCAAGUCUCAAAUAUUGAAGAAUCUCUAACCAGGGACACCAGUCCCUACGAAGACCUUGGGCGAUUUUGAAGUGCGGGCACCUCGAUUCCCCGAAUCUGUAGUGUGGCUGGUAUCGGUGUUCCCCUGGUUUAACUAGCCUGUUUGAAGGCACAGAUCAUUCAUGGGGAUGUAUAACCGAAACCAGUCCUCUCCACCGCCUGGGGAUCUUCACUUUCGCAGUCUACGACUGCCUGUGACUCCAGAAAGACAAACUGCAGAUUGGCCAAGUGCCUUUCAAACUGUUUUUUACUGGAUGAAGAAACUCAACCAAGAAAAUAUAUGUCGAUUCUUGUAUAUGGGACAAUAUUAGCUGCUGUGAUUUUUAAUACUAGCAUAAAAUAUAAGAAUCUUUUUAUUACUGUGAUAUUGUUUUUUCCUAAAUGAAUGCAUAGUGUAACAAUUGGUGUCAAAAAGCAUUGAAUUUUUUUCAGAUGGAUUAAGCUGGAAUAAUAAAGUAUAUCUAUGAGAUGAUUUCUGUAAACUCUGACUUGCUGAGAAAAAAGUGAAAAAGCUUUUUCUGGAAGAAACAUGGCAACUUAACCGUUAUUAAUCUGGACUAAAUAAAACAGGAAACUGCUUCUUUACAUUUCUAGUAAUUUUUUCUGCUUUUCCAAACAUUGUUAAGUUCUAUGCAACUUGUGCUAUUCAAGUAAAGAUGAUGUCAGUAAUAAAAUUACAGAAUCUAA